CUCAUUAGUGUUGAUUUAAGCUGGUUGAACAUUAACUUUUUUAAUCAACAAUUUUCUUAAAUUAACUUAACUUUUUAAUCAACACUUUUCUUAAAUUAACUUAACUUUUUAAAAAUUGAGAUAAAACUUGGUAUAAAAACACACAUUUCUACAACCUUGUUCUCUAAUUAUUUCACAAGAAAGACAAGAUUCUUCAGCCCUAUUCCACCCCACCCACCACACACACAAUGAAAGUACUCGCCCUUGCCGUCGUCUGCCUACUGGCCUUGACCUCCGCCCAGGACACGCUCAAGAGUGACGUCCUCUGCGUCAUAAGCCACCUGUCGUCUGCAUCCUGUAGGAACACGGCCACAGCUCAGGCCAACGGUAGCAGCGACCCCACCACCGCCUGCUCCACCCUGGAGACCUUCAAGACCCUCCUCCCCAUCGUUGGCUGCACCACGGCUGACUACAACGCUCUGCACAGGGUCGUCUGCGAGCAUAUCGUUGACCCCUGCGUCCCCGCCCGACGAUAAACUCAUAACCCCAACCCCUGUCAGCUAAACUCAUAACCCCAACCCUUGUCAGCUAAACUCAUGACCCCAACCCCUGUCAGAUAAAUUCAUGACCCCAACCCCUGUCAGAUAAACUCAUUUUUUAACCUGCAUUAAACAUCUCAUAAACUUA